rnacentral:snoRNA from 1 species
UGCAGCCUUGUCAAUUGCAGUGCUCUCUGCCUCAGUGAUGGGUACUGACCCCAAUAGCUGCCACAGAAGCACCUGUAGUUCAUGCCAUGUCCGUCUAGAGAUAGGAGAUAAAAAUCUCCUACAGACCCCC